rnacentral:rRNA from 3 species
CCCUUCGGGGUGUGACUGCGUACCUUUUGUAUAAUGGGUCAGCGACUUAUAUUCUGUAGCAAGGUUAACCGAAUAGGGGAGCCGGAGGGAAACCGAGUCUUAAUUGGGCGUUAAGUUGCAGGGUAUAGACCCGAAACCCGGUGAUCUAGCCAUGGGCAGGUUGAAGGUUGGGUAACACUAACUGGAGGACCGAACCGACUAAUGUUGAAAAAUUAGCGGAUGACCUGUGGCUGGGGGUGAAAGGCCAAUCAAACCGGGAGAUAGCUGGUUCUCCCCGAAAGCUAUUUAGGUAGCGCCUCGUGAAUUCAUCUCCGGGGGUAGAGCACUGUUUCGGCUAGGGGGCCAUCCCGGCUUACCAACCCGAUGCAAACUGCGAAUACCGGAGAAUGUUAUCACGGGAGACACACGGCGGGUGCUAACGUCCGUCGUGAAGAGGGAAACAACCCAGACCGCCAGCUAAGGUCCCAAAGUCAUGGUUAAGUGGGAAACGAUGUGGGAAGGCCCAGACAGCCAGGAUGUUGGCUUAGAAGCAGCCAUCAUUUAAAGAAAGCGUAAUAGCUCACUGGUCGAGUCGGCCUGCGCGGAAGAUGUAACGGGGCUAAACCAU